UCGGUAAAUAAAAAAACCAAAAAGAAGACAAAAACGACACGCUCAUACAUUCUUAGCCGACCGUGGAAGAUGAGAAGCACUAGCGCCGCCGCCACAAUUACUCCGUCGUUGCUCAGUUCCUCCACCUCCUUUACCUCUGGCAGAACGUUCAAAUUUCCUGUCAAAACCUCAAUUCCGGUCAAAUUUCGCUGGAGAAAACCCACCACUACCUCCGCUGCUUCUUCUCCCUCAAAUGGAAUUGCGUCUUGCAAAUCAAAUUCGAAUGCAUUUCGGAGGAGAGCGCUUAUGUAUAUGGCAACGGCUUCGUUUCUCCUCUCUCAGAGCACCAGUUAUGCUGUUGCUGCUGACUAUGGUGCCAGUGAAGGUUCUCUCUUACAUGAAGAGAUCAGGAAGGUAUUAUCCAAGGCCAAAGCUGCUGGUUUACUUCGUUUAGUUUUUCAUGAUGCAGGGACUUUUGAUAAGGACGAUAAAACAGGUGGUAUGAAUGGCUCUGUAGUUUAUGAACUCGAAAGACCUGAGAAUGCAGGUCUUAAGAAGUCCCUAAAGAUUCUGGAGAAAGCAAAGAUUCAAGUGGAUGCUGUAGAACCAGUAUCCUGGGCAGAUAUGAUAGCUGUUGCUGGAGCAGAGGCCAUUUUAGUAUGUGGAGGUCCAAAAAUCCCUGUUCAGUUGGGAAGACUAGAUGCAAAUCGUUAUAUUUUCCUUCAUAGAAUGGCUGAUCCUGAUGGAAAGCUUCCUGAGGAAUCUCUGGAUGUCAUAGCCCUAAAGCAGUGUUUUGACAGAAAAGGCUUCACAACUAAGGAGCUUGUUGCAUUAUCUGGAGCUCACACUCUCGGAAGCAAAGGUUUCGGAAAUCCCGUUGUUUUCGACAAUUCGUACUACAAAAUUCUCCUAGAGAAGCCAUGGUUGUCUUCAGGUGCUUCACAAGUUUCUUUCUUCUGCCAUCUUGUUUUAAAUCCCAUCCAAUCAUUCCAAGUGAUUACCAACUAAGCAGAUGGUUCAUGUCUCCAAGCAACUGCUCAUAAUCAAUACCGUCUCAGAGAGAAAAUUCUUAAACUUAUAGCUAUAAGUGUUGGAGUUAGGUCUGAAUCCAGAAAGGGAAAAUGGCACUUGUAGUUCCAUGUCCCACUAUUGUUUUAAAGACUUUGCAACAUCCUCCAGCAUUAUGGGAUGUCUAGUAUGAUUGGCCUACCUUCAGAUCGUGCACUUGUUGAGGAUGAUGACUGCAUGAGGUGGAUCUCAAAGUAUGCCAAUGAUCAGAGUUUGUUCUUUGAAGAUUUUAAGAAUGUCUAUAUUAAGCUUGUAAAUACCGGUGCAAAAUGGAGAAGAUCUGCAUGAUACUCUUAGAAAGGAAUGGUAUGGCAUUUCUCACAGCCUCUACAUAAUUUGGCAAUACCUUGGUGUCAUUAGCAACUGGAACGUUCUUGAGUCAAUGAUUGUAUUGAUACGGUUCGAGGAGAUGGUAAAAUCUGCUGAGGAAAUCUGGAAUUAAAAAAAAAAAUAAUGAAAUAGUAUACACAGAAGUCACCAGUAUAUAGAGUGAAUGUUACAUAUAUAGGUUCAAAUGCACUUGUUUGUCAAAAAUCACUGUAAUUAACCUUAAUAUUUCGCCAAAUACAAUUAUUUAUAUUUGCUCAAAA